UACGGAGGGUGCGAGCGUUGUCCGGAAUCAUUGGGCGUAAAGGGCGCGUAGGUGGCGGGACAAGCGUGCGGUGAAAGCUCGGGGCUCAACCCCGAGUCGGCCGUGCGAACUGUUUUGCUGGAGCACUGUAGAGGCAGGCGGAAUUCCGGGUGUAGCGGUGGAAUGCGUAGAGAUCCGGAAGAACACCGGUGGCGAAGGCGGCCUGCUGGGCAGUUGCUGGCACUGAGGCGCGACAGCGUGGGGGAGCAAACAGGG
rnacentral:rRNA from 1 species